AUUUUUCUGGUCUUAUUAGAAUUAUACUUUUAUAAUUCUAGUCAUCUACCAUGUUUAAAUGCUUAUGCAGGACUCAGACAAAGCUUAGGUUGUGCUACAAAAUGAUGAAGUGCUAACAGGUUCCCUUUUACCAUGCUUCCCUCCCUGAGUCUUAUAGUCAGGGUAUACACAGAUCUGCAGUGCCUCAUUUGCAAUUCUGAAAUUUUAAGAGCUCUAAAAAGGAGAAGACUUUUAAAAACAUAUUUGGUGGCACAAUUUGAACUGAAAUCAUGGGAGUCCACUUGUAGUCCUUUAGUAUUUUAUGAAAAACUCAUUCAAAUUCUGCAGAUAUAUGGGUGUGUUCAGUUGUAGGGUGUUUGCCCAGAUUCCAGGGAAGAUUUUAUAUAACAUAGAGAAUAUUAUUAUCAAUAUGUUCUAUUUUAAAAAGCCUCUAGCAUUCUGCAACAUCUGUGAUCCUGACAGUUUGGCUAAGGAAUUAUUGGCCUGCCAAUAUCAGCAAACUUCGGAAUGUCUUUUCAGAAGAAAAAGAUGAAAGAAAAAGGGAGUGAUUGGAAGAGUUGGAAGUAAUAUCAACAGCAAAGCUUGGAGCAGAGAAAAGAAGCAAAUUUUCAGCUUAGCUUCCCAGGCAGAAGAGUGAGAGAAGACAAACUGGGAGAUAUACGAACACUUUGGGGAGAGAUCAGAAAGAGACAUGAGCAGGACUAAUGAAGAAGAGUGAGAAAAGGACAUUAGAAAGAAGCCCAAAGAUGAGAUGCGAGAUUGGAAGCAAAGAUUGGUUAAAGCUAUCAUUUUAGCUCCCUCUGCUGGUGGUGAAUGAUGUUUUUGGAAGAAGACAGAAGCGUGCAAAUGUUUCUGAAAGACAGGGUUGAAACACGUUUGGUUUUGCCGCUAUAUUUCCAUUGGUU
rnacentral:lncRNA from 1 species